GGCGUAAAGGACGCGUAGGCGGGUUAUUAAGUCGGGUGUGAAAUCCAAUGGCUCAACCAUUGAACUGCAUUCGAAACUGGUGACCUAGAGUAUGGAAGGGGCAGGUGGAAUUAG
rnacentral:rRNA from 1 species